AUGAUGGAGAGGAAGUUUUCAGUGGUGCCCAAUACAUUGUACAGAAGCACUAAGCCUUCCAUGGAAGCACCAUCAGAAGUAGAAGAAUACUUCGUACACACAAGUGGAUUUUCCUGAAAGCUAUGAAAAUGGUUAAAAAUACAGGAACGAAUGUUUUCAGCUUAUUCAGGUACGUCAUUGAAAAGCUUCUAAACAUUUUCUCAUUUUAAGUCUGAAGGGCUUACAGUUUGGGAAUUUUUUGUAUAAUGACAGUUGUUGAUACAUUUAAUACAGUAAUUAUCAAUUGUUAUGAUAAGUUGAUACAGUAAUUAAUUCUGUACAGUCAGAAUUUAAGAAAACUUGUUCCCUGAGGCACAGUGUGUGCUGAUAGUGGUGCCUAAGCUUGGAUAACUUUCAAAACUACAUGCAAAGUUCUACAUAAGGGUACAUUAUUAUUAAAAUAUGUCAAAGGACUAGAGAAUGUUUAAUUUUUGUAUUGCAAUCAGAAACCCUAUAGGAAGACAGUACAUUUCAAUUUAAAUUUGUUUUCUGUAUUGCUUUUGUCUCAUCUGUGAUGAUCCUAUCCCGAACCUGAAUUCCUUGCUGAAAAAUCAAAUACGGAUCCGGAAUCUGAGAUGAGACAAAAAGAUUUGAUUUAAACUUCCUGAAAAGUACUUUCAUGUCUCUGGGGUUUUAGAUGUUCUGUGUUUUUGUUUUUUUUACAGAAAUGGUAACACCUUAAUGUAUGCAAAGUGUUGUGUGCUUGCUUGAAGAAUUAAAAUUUCUCCCUCAAAUGAAUGGGUUUUCUUAGACCUUGUUCUCUUUUUCCAGUGACGAGUUGGAGCGCUUUGUCAGUGCUGCCUGACAAAUGUGGACGAUCUGUAACUGGAAGGACAUGUAACACCUGAAGAGUUUUUGUGGCUUGGAGUGGGAGGCCAUGUUAUUAAAAGCCUGCUGAAACAGCUGCUGCAAUUUUGUUUAGUGGAUACUGUUUUCAGAAACUGCGUGUGAAUCAAAAAUCUCUGUCUCCGCAUAUUUGAAAUAGCGCUUUUCCAAAACCAUUGAGCUGCCCUCUGUAGGAAGGAUUGCAGUGAUAUUAGGGAAAUGAAUGUUGACCUGCAAUAUGUGGGAAAAACACUGAGUAU
rnacentral:lncRNA from 1 species